UACCUGAUGGUCUAGUGGUCAGGAUUCAGUGAUCUCACCGCCGCGGCCCAAGUUCGAUUCCCGGUCAGGGAA
rnacentral:tRNA from 1 species